UUCCCCUUAAUUCCAGUGAUGGAACCUAUGAGUACUUAGAAACUCUUUGGCUCAAGCCCUGAAGGAAGAACGGAUGAUAAAAAAGAAGGUGCUCCAGAAAGCACAUCAGGUUUAGUUUGAUCUUACUAACAAGGAGUCUAGUGAAACUAACAAUAUCCAUUUUCUUGAGUCUUUACAAAUUACUGCACACAGUAGAGUAGGCAAUUCAUGUACCCUCACAUUUUUGCAAUAAGAGGGUGAUAGGAAGGGGCCAGUGAAUUAACUGAAAUAUCUGUAAAUGGCACUGGAGACAUAGGUAUCUAAGAAUCACUGAGGGGGUCUGGAAAUAUUUAGUUAAAUUGAUUGAAAACAACUCUGGCUAAUACUUUGCUUACCAUUACGCAAUAAGCCAUUCAGUGCCUUUCCCUAUUCUCUGCUGGAGAUGUGAGAUAUUCUGUCAGACUCUACAAAUGUAUCAGUUCCCUUCAACACUAAAGCAGAUUGGUCUACUUCAUAAUUGAUUUUCUACAGACAAUUGAUUUGAACUUUUAAAACCCCCUGUGAUGUCGGGAUCAGAUUUGUCUUUUUUCUGUGCCAUCCAGUUACCAUGAUGAACUCUGAGCUAAAUUUCGGUUGGGUUUUGCUUAAUUGGAGGAAAGGGACAGAGUUCCAGGAUAAACCAACAGAAGGGACAGUCACUCUGAAUUCAUACAUGAACUCGUGGAUGGAAAGGUUACUCCCCACAGGAGGCAUUCAGGACACCCGGCUGACAAGGUGUUUCUAACAUUAUAACCACCAGAUUUUUAAUGGAGUUUAAAUGUCUUUAAUCACACAGGCUAAGCGGCACUAAGCACAAGUUCAAGGUGAUUCCGACAGCUCUUAUUCUACAUCUGCAUUUUUAUCUUCCUUAGAUUAAUUCAUAUUUAAUUGCUCAUAUCACUGAUUGAAGUACUAGAGAAGGGAGCACUUUAAUUCCUUUGAUCUCAUACUUUUGCUACCUAAUAGCAAGGUCGGUCAUCAGGCAGGCCUGCAAUGUUGCUGGGCUUCUGGGGUGGGCGGAAGAGUAUGAUUGACUUCAAUUAAGUAGUGUGUAUUAUAGGUAGAGCUGAAAGCAACACCUAUAUUAAAGUUGCCUAAUGCUUCCCAUAUUAGCAAAUGCUAUAGCUUUGCCAGCAUGCUAAUCAUCAUUACUGGAACUUUGCAAAAACAU
rnacentral:lncRNA from 1 species